UUUGAUUACUCUCAAAAACCCAUUUUGUAAUUGGCUACAAUCCAAAAUUUGCUGCUUCUUCAAGGAAAUUCAAAGAAAAUUCCCUGACAAGAACUCUUGAAUAGUUUCUUAUAACUUUGAAGACCAUACCAUUGGACUAAGACACAAUUGAAGACACUGGCUAUUUUUGCAAGGCUUUGACUGGAAUGGCAUGUUUUUAGAUAUGACCAGAGUAAUCUGAAAAAUUAAAAUUGACUUUAUAGAGCUAAUAAAAAGCCCCCUGAAAAUGCUGGCCUGGUACCUUGUCUGCAAAGUUCCUGACCUGUGGUCCUGCAAGCUGAAGCUCAUACCUUGUAACAUACAGAUUACAGAUGAGAAAAAUCUGUCAUAUUCCCACUGCCUAUUUCCAUUUUAACUGAAGAUGUUUCGAAUCUAACAUCUAGACACCUCAGCUGACUGCUUCCUUGAGUCUAAGGAAACCAAAUUUUAGGACUCAUGUCUGCGCCACACCUUAUACAACAGUGUCUGUGAAAUGGUUAAAGAGUAAAAACCCAAUCUGUUGCAGCCAGAAAGGAGUACUCCACCUGUUACAC